ensembl:lncRNA
CGACAACACAAACCCUCGGAAGCCAGCCUGAGGACACCGUAGAUCUUCCGUUCCAUUUAGGCCUAAAUACACAAAAAUCUGGCGCGAUAAUAACCUUACCUACGCUAGAAACGGUGCCGGUUUUAAGGCUGCCAAGGCCGACGGCGUAAAAAGUUAUUUUAUUUUAUUUUAUUAUUUUUUUUAAUUCGAUCCACACGUGACAGUGUUUCUAAUUAUUUUUUAUGUAUUCCGGGUUUCCAUUUUUUAUGGGAUUCUCCAAAACACUUUUGACAUGGCGGAAUCAGGCACAAGAGAAAACGUGCUCAUCACGGAAAUUAUGGACCCCUACGAGCGCGCCGUAAAGUAUAUGGAAAGUCACAACAUUCUGCAGAUCUUUGAAGAAAUCAUAGAGAAUCUGGCUUAUGACAGACCAGAUGACCCCCUACAGUUUAUGCUAGAAAAGGUACAGAAAAUGAUCCGAUCCCGGCAGGAGUCAAACAAGAAAACUGAGAAACCUGAAUAUGUUUCUCAGAAGUAGGACUCUACAAAACACAUUAAAGACCACAUUAAACCUAUAUUUGUAUACUGGUAUUAUUUUACUUGGGUAGCAAUGAUAGUUGAUGAAACUACUCAGCUAUGUUUAGUUUAUCUUGUUUUCUUGAACAACAUUUGAUAUAAUUUUAUGAGAAAUGUUACUUGUAUUUGCAUCAAUGAAGAGGGAAAAUGGUACUUACCUUAUUUUUUCAAACUAGCAUCACAAUUUUGGCCACAGUACCCCCAUGAGCAAGAAGUGACAGUGGCAAAGAAACAAUGCAAGGAACUACAAAAUAAACACAACCAAGAUUUAUCUUUGUAUUUGAAUGCAUCAGGAUGGCUUCAUAUAUACCCAUGUGGAUGUGUGCAGGGGGGUUAGACGGGGUAGAUCUAAAGUAGUUUUGUACUAGAAAACUGGCUGUAGGUUUGCCAUAAAAAUUAAAAAAAAAAU